rnacentral:rRNA from 1 species
CUACGGGCUGCAGCAGUGGGGAAUAUUGGACAAUGGGGGAAACCCUGAUCCAGCAAUGCCGCGUGUGUGAAGAAGGCCUGCGGGUUGUAAAGCACUUUCGGUUGGGAGGACUGCUUCUAGCACUAAUAUUGUUGGAAGUUGACGUUACCUUCAGAAGAAGCACCGGAUAACUCCGUGCCAGCAGCCGCGGUAAUACGGAGGGUGCAAGCGUCAAUCGGAAUUACUGGGCGUAAAGCGCGCGUAGGCGGCUAGAUCAGUCGGGUGUGAAAGCCCCGGGCUUAACCUGGGAACUGCAUCCGAUACUGUCUAGCUUGAGUACAGGAGAGGAGAGUGGAAUUCCACAUGUAGCGGUGAAAUGCGUAGAUAUGUGGAGGAACACCAAUGGCGAAGGCAGCUCUCUGGCCUGAUACUGACGCUGAGGUGCGAAAGCGUGGGGAGCAAACAGGAUUAGAUACCCCUGUAGUC